rnacentral:rRNA from 1 species
UACGGAGGGUGCGAGCGUUGUCCGGAAUCACUGGGCGUAAAGGGCGCGUAGGUGGCCUGUGGAAGUCUGCGGUGAAAGCCCGGCGCUCAACGCCGGGUCGGCCGUGGAUACUCUCGGGCUCGAGCUUACUAGAGGCAGAUGGAAUUCCGGGUGUAGCGGUGGAAUGCGUAGAGAUCCGGAAGAACACCGGUGGCGAAGGCGGUCUGCUGGGGUAAUGCUGACACUGAUGCGCGACAGCGUGGGGAUCAAACAGG